UACAGAGGGGGCAAGCGUUGUUCGGAAUUACUGGGCGUAAAGGGCGCGUAGGCGGCCUUCUAAGUCGAACGUGAAAUCCCCGGGCUCAACCCGGGAACUGCGUCCGAUACUGGAAGGCUUGAAUCCGGGAGAGGGAUGUGGAAUUCCAGGUGUAGCGGUGAAAUGCGUAGAUAUCGAGAGGAACACCAGUGGCGAAGGCGAGUCUCUGGACAUUUCCUGACGCUCAGGCACGAAAGCCAGGGGAGCAAACGGG
rnacentral:rRNA from 1 species